rnacentral:lncRNA from 1 species
GCGAUAUGGUCAAAACUAGAGAAUUCUAGGUAUAUAUACCUAGAAAACAAGUCAAACCCAUGAACGGACUCUCUCUAAUCGAUUUUUCACCUAAUUUUUUUAUCUAGGAUAACGAGCUAAUUAAGAAUCCUUUAUUUUUUUUUACCUAAUCGCUCUUUUGAUUUUGGAAAAAAGAUAUUUAUCAAUAUACUCUUUCUUUUACACAUUUAUACGCUAUCCCAAAAUACCAAUAAUGGAAACUAGCUAUAUAGUUAGGACUCAUAAAAAAAAUAACCCAUUCACCAGAAAAGCUUUUCCCACAUCAAGCACUAACCUCUUUUUAACGUACAAUUAGAUGGGGUAAUGAUCCAAAUAAAAAAUAAAUGAAAGCUCGAUGCUUUUUGUUUCCCUAUUAGAAUUAGAACCACGAAGUUCUAUCCCUUUAUUAAUGAAACCCAACUUAAUUUUUUUUUUAGGAGCCAAAAAUUCAAACAAAAAUUUGAGCUGGAUCCUAUAAGAAUGAAAUAUUUUUAAAAUUCUUCAUUGAUANNNN